rfam:Nelumbo nucifera unplaced genomic scaffold scaffold00019, whole genome shotgun sequence
GUGGGCGUGCCGGAGUGGUUAUCGGGCAUGACUAGAAAUCAUGUGGUCUCUACUCGCGCAGGUCCGAAUCCUGCCGCCCACG